ncrna:Photobacterium sp. SKA34 Moco (molybdenum cofactor) riboswitch
UAACUGCCAUAACUCCGAGCAUUCUUCACUAAGUUACUAAGCGAUGUUGGACUUAUAUAUAUAUACGUUCAAAAGUUGAUAGGUGAUUAAUGCCAGUGACGAUUUGUCACCAGGGUUUAUUUAGAAAUGAAUUGACCUCCCGUAUUUGGAAAGGUGUUCCGUGGCGAAACAA